rnacentral:misc_RNA from 1 species
CCGAGUUUACAACUCCCAAACCCAAUGUGAACGCUACCAAACUGUUGCCUCGGCGGGGUCACGCCCCGGGUGCGUAAAAGCCCCGGAACCAGGCGCCCGCCGGAGGAACCAACCAAACUCUUUCUGUAGUCCCCUCGCGGACGUAUUUCUUACAGCUCUGAGCAAAAAUUCAAAAUGAAUCA